GCAAAGAGGUCGGUGAUUUACCAUUGGAAAAACAGCUUGUACUGGAGAUUGAAUGCUAAAACCAUCUGGUGAUAACAUGUUGAAUACAGCUGGGCAGGGCAUGACAUGCAAGGUGCAUUUGGGGCUGAGGGGGCAUACCACAGGUAUAUGAGGCUAGUAUUGUGUGGGUCCAGAUAUGAAGUCGGCAGGGCUGUUUGCAGGGACUGGGUUCGGUAAGCCGGAUUCGGGAGGUCUGCCAUGGGAGAGGGAUGGUAACUCGGAAAGCUGCUUGUUUGGUCAGUUAGGACAGGU